UUGAAAAGAUCUGCGAAGCUGCUGAGAAGAUAGUGAAUUUUGGUUAUAUUACUGGAAGUGAUGCUCUGCUGAGAAGGAAGUCAGUGAUUAAAAUUACAACUGGAAGCCAAGCCCUUGAUGAACUAUUAGGCGGUGGGAUUGAAACUAAUGCUAUUACGGAAGCUUUUGGGGAGUUUCGGUCUGGCAAAACACAACUUGCCCAUACUCU